UACGUAGGGCGCAAGCGUUGUCCGGAAUUAUUGGGCGUAAAGAGCUCGUAGGCGGUCUGUCGCGUCGGCUGUGAAAUCCCGGAGCUCAACUCCGGGCCUGCAGUCGAUACGGGCAGACUGGAGUUCGGCAGGGGAGACUGGAAUUCCUGGUGUAGCGGUGAAAUGCGCAGAUAUCAGGAGGAACACCGGUGGCGAAGGCGGGUCUCUGGGCCGAUACUGACGCUGAGGAGCGAAAGCGUGGGGAGCGAACGGG
rnacentral:rRNA from 1 species